GGCCUUUUCGGUAUGGGCGUCCGUCGUCGCGCGUGGGUCCGCGGACGGCUCCGUCACUAGGAUGGGUUGUGCCAUGGCACAGGUCGUUAGUCGAGGGAGCGUGGAAAUCCAGAGUCGUCAUCUCGUCGGCUUGGGCCCGUCAUUGCAGGGUUGCUCUUGGAUCUCGAGGGAACGAGGGCGGCGUCGAGGAUGGCCGGCGGCGUGGCAGGAUGGAGGAGAACGGCUUAGAGUUCGUGCUCGAUCUGGUGGUCAGGAUCCCAAUUCGGGAAGAGUUCGCCGAUAACCUUGAGCACCCGGAUCCGGUGCCGCUGAGGCUGCUGCCCAGGGGGGAGGCUGGCGCUCUUGGCCCGUAUGAUUCAAAUGGUGAAUCUGGUUGCGCCCUGAGGCGCGGCGGAAAAGAGCCGCGUCGCCAACAAAGUUAGCUCAAUCUAUCGGAAAGGUUAAUCGGGAGGCACCUGGAUGAUGGACGAAAAGGUUAAGACUAGGGAGUGCACCGCCGGACAGAAAUUCGUGCGCUUCAUGGAUGAGCGCACUGGAGCAAGCGAUACGGAAGUUUGCUGAGGAACCGACGAGGAGUGUGAUUAAACCAGAAUUAGGAACACGUUCCGAUUCGUUGAACGAGGCAUACGACUUCUGCAGUCUUUAUUCAUGGGAAGUUAGAUUCAGUAAAAAAAGCCGACUGAAUGCAGAAAGAACCAAGUCGAUGCAGGAGAGAGUGUGCGGUUGUUCGCUAGGUUCUGUGGUACGAGAUACAAUGGAAAGCCUGAGGCAGAGAAUAGCUGAUCAUGCAGGUGCGAGUGCCGAAAGUUUUGAAUGAGUUUUUGCUGAGUCCUGAGAAUGUUGGGUGGAUCACCGCCUACGACAAUUUUGACUGGUAUGUAUGGGCUAGCAUAGAACUCUUACUUGCUGGUAGCUCCCAGAAGCUGAGUUAUUGUUUGUUGUUAUUACAGAUCAAAACAGAGCAGCCGAACCCUUACUUGCCAAUCAGCCGGAUUUUUCGUAUAGAUUUUUUGUGAAAACUGUUUUACCUGAAGAAUAUUUCAAUUAGUUAGCUGAACUAGGGUAAAUUGUUCGUAAAUCAGUACCUGCAUAGAUAUUGCAUUAGUAGGGAGAACUACUGUACUGAAUUAGCACGUUUGCAAAUUUUCACGCUAUGCCUCGGCAGUGCACCACCAGACAAGGCACCAUGUGCUUCUAGGAUGCUUAAACUGUUUUUUGGUUGAUCAUUGCAAAAAUUAAAUGUUGUUAUCCUGCAAGAAAUGGUUCAAGCACUUCCAUCCACUGCUGGCAGUGGCAUCCGGACAGGACUUGAUGGAUGAGCUCACUCCUGGGGGUGAGUUAACACUGAAUUUGUGUGCAUUCAACGGAUGCCCAGUGAGAAAGAGAAGAAAAUGUACCGCGGAUGGCUUGACAGAUGGAGAGAGAUUUUUAUCCUGUUUUUGUGGAUGAACUUUGUAAGGAAGACGACGAAAUAAACUGGGAUUAAACCAUUCAUGUUCCCUGUGAUGUUCAUGGAUUGCUGGUCCUUGUACAUUCUCGACACUGAGAAGAAGAUUGUAAUGGUGCUUGAUCCAACAGAGACAGAUCCAUCAGAUGAGAUGAAGAGGAAGCAUGAGGCGCUAGCGAGGAAGUUCCAGCGUAGGUUUUACAACCUUUUUAAUGACAAGUUUGGAGCAGGCUUGGUCGAGACGACUGGAUGGUCAUUUGUGUACCCGUUGGUUGCGCAACACGAGCCAUGCACCAGGGAAGACGGUGUGGUGUAUGUCCUGCACUACAUACUGGAGUUCACUGGCCUUUACCUGAGAUCGAAUAUGAACCAGGAGCAGAUCGAGCACCUCCGCAAGAAGAUUGCAUGUGACAUAGUGACGAUGAAGGAGAAUAAGGGAUGCAUCCCAGAGUUCCUGUACGAGGAGAUCCUCGACUAAAGUGAUGAAGUAUUCGUUCACUCUACGUGCAGCCCGGCAAGAUCUUUUGGUUGAAUUGUCCCGAUUUAGUUGUUGGGGCAUUUUGCAGCACAAACACCUGCCACCUUGUAGAUGAAAAACUAUGGACAUGUACUGCAUUUUUAGAUGGAUUCUUAAGCAGUUUAAGUAAAUGUAAGCGCUGAUAUGAUAUGUGGAUGUAUGUUCAUAUCUCAGAAUGUGCAAUGCUAUUGGUACUAGUGGUUAUUUGAUCCCGUGAUUUACA